AAUUUUGGACAAUGGGGGAAACCCUGAUUCAGCCAUCCCGCGUGUAUGAUGAAGGCCUUCGGGUUGUAAAGUACUUUUGGCAGAGAAGGAAAGGUAUCCCCUAAUACGGGAUACUGCUGACGGUAUCUGCAGAAUAAGCACCGGCUAACUACGUGCCAGCAGCCGCGGUAAUACGAAGGGGGCUAGCGUUAAUCGGAAUUACUGGGCGUAAAACGGGUGUAAGCGGUUCCGAAAGAAAGAUGUGAAAUCCCAGGGCUCAACCUUGGAACUGCAUUUUUAACUGCCGAGCUAGAGGUAGUCAAAGGGGGGUAGAAUUCCACGUGUAGCAGUGAAAUGCGUAGAUAUGUGGAGGAAUACCGAUGGCGAAGGCAGCCCCCUGGGAUAAUACUGACGCUCAGACACGAAAGCGUGGGGAGCAAACAGG
rnacentral:rRNA from 1 species